AUUUCUAGCUUGCUAGAAGAUGACGAGCGGCGGACGGGUGAGUAAUACUUAGGAAUCUACCUAGUAGUGGGGGAUAGCACGGGGAAACUCGUAUUAAUACCGCAUACGACCUACGGGAGAAAGGGGGCAGUUUACUGCUCUCGCUAUUAGAUGAGCCUAAGUCGGAUUAGCUAGAUGGUGGGGUAAAGGCCUACCAUGGCGACGAUCUGUAGCUGGUCUGAGAGGAUGAUCAGCCACACCGGGACUGAGACACGGCCCGGACUCCUACGGGAGGCAGCAGUGGGGAAUAUUGGACAAUGGGGGAAACCCUGAUCCAGCCAUGCCGCGUGUGUGAAGAAGGCCUUUUGGUUGUAAAGCACUUUAAGCAGUGAAGAAGACUCUGUGGUUAAUACCCACAGACGAUGACAUUAGCUGCAGAAUAAGCACCGGCUAACUCUGUGCCAGCAGCCGCGGUAAUACAGAGGGUGCAAGCGUUAAUCGGAAUUACUGGGCGUAAAGGGAGCGUAGGUGGCUCGAUAAGUCAGAUGUGAAAUCCCCGGGCUCAACCUGGGAACUGCAUCUGAUACUGUCGUGCUAGAGUAUGUGAGAGGAAGGUAGAAUUCCAGGUGUAGCGGUGAAAUGCGUAGAGAUCUGGAGGAAUACCGAUGGCGAAGGCAGCCUUCUGGCAUAAUACUGACACUGAGGCUCGAAAGCGUGGGUAGCAAACAGGAUUAGAUACCCUGGUAGUCCACGCCGUAAACGAUGUCUACUAGUCGUUGGGUCCCUUGAGGACUUAGUGACGCAGCUAACGCAAUAAGUAGACCGCCUGGGGAGUACGGCCGCAAGGUUAAAACUCAAAUGAAUUGACGGGGGCCCGCACAAGCGGUGGAGCAUGUGGUUUAAUUCGAUGCAACGCGAAGAACCUUACCUGGUCUUGACAUAUCUAGAAUCCUGCAGAGAUGCGGGAGUGCCUUCGGGAAUUAGAAUACAGGUGCUGCAUGGCUGUCGUCAGCUCGUGUCGUGAGAUGUUGGGUUAAGUCCCGCAACGAGCGCAACCCUUGUCCUUAGUUACCAGCGGGUUAAGCCGGGAACUCUAAGGAUACUGCCAGUGACAAACUGGAGGAAGGCGGGGACGACGUCAAGUCAUCAUGGCCCUUACGACCAGGGCUACACACGUGCUACAAUGGUAGGUACAGAGGGCAGCUACACAGCGAUGUGAUGCGAAUCUCAAAAAGCCUAUCGUAGUCCAGAUUGGAGUCUGCAACUCGACUCCAUGAAGUAGGAAUCGCUAGUAAUCGCGGAUCAGAAUGCCGCGGUGAAUACGUUCCCGGGCCUUGUACACACCGCCCGUCACACCAUGGGAGUUGAUUGCACCAGAAGUGGAUAGCCUAA
rnacentral:rRNA from 1 species